CCCAGACUCCUACGGGAGGCAGCAGUAAGGAAUAUUGGUCAAUGGGCGAGAGCCUGAACCAGCCAAGUCGCGUGAGGGAAGAAGGCCCUGCGGGUCGCAGACCUCUUUGGACGGGGAGCAAGGCCGCCGACGUGUCGGCGGAAGGAGAGUACCCGUAGAACAAGCAUCGGCUAACUCCGUGCCAGCAGCCGCGGUAAUACGGAGGAUGCGAGCGUUAUCCGGAUUUAUUGGGUUUAAAGGGUGCGUAGGCGGGCUUUUAAGUCAGCGGUAAAAAUUCGGGGCUCAACCCCGUCCGGCCGUUGAAACUGGCGGCCUCGAGUGGGCGAGAAGUAUGCGGAAUGCGUGGUGUAGCGGUGAAAUGCAUAGAUAUCACGCAGAACUCCGAUUGCGAAGGCAGCAUACCGGCGCCCAACUGACGCUGAAGCACGAAAGCGUGGGUAUCGAACAGGAUUAGAUACCCCAGUAC
rnacentral:rRNA from 1 species